AUUUGAUAGUACCUUACUACUUGGAUAACCGUGGUAAUUCUAGAGCUAAUACAUGCUAAAAACCCCAACUUCGGGAGGGGUGUAUUUAUUAGAUAAAAAACCAACGCCCUUCGGGGCUUCUUGGUGAUUCAUGAUAACUUUACGGAUCGCAUGGCCUUGCGCCGGCGACGGUUCAUUCAAAUUUCUGCCCUAUCAACUUUCGAUGGUAAGGUAUUGGCUUACCAUGGUUUCAACGGGUAACGGGGAAUUAGGGUUCGAUUCCGGAGAGGGAGCCUGAGAAACGGCUACCACAUCCAAGGAAGGCAGCAGGCGCGCAAAUUACCCAAUCCCGACACGGGGAGGUAGUGACAAUAAAUACUGAUACAGGGCUCUUUUGGGUCUUGUAAUUGGAAUGAGUACAAUUUAAACCUCUUAACGAGGAACAAUUGGAGGGCAAGUCUGGUGCCAGCAGCCGCGGUAAUUCCAGCUCCAAUAGCGUAUAUUAAAGUUGUUGCAGUUAAAAAGCUCGUAGUUGAAACUUGGGUCUGGCUGGCAGGUCCGCCUCACCGCGUGUACUUGUCCGGCCGGGCCUUCCUUCUGGAGAACCUCAUGCCCUUCACUGGGCGUGUUGGGGACCAGGACUUUUACUUUGAAAAAAUUAGAGUGUUCAAAGCAGGCCUUUGCUCGAAUACGUUAGCAUGGAAUAAUAGAAUAGGACGUGCGGUCCUAUUUUGUUGGUUUCUAGGACCGCCGUAAUGAUUAAUAGGGACAGUCGGGGGCAUCAGUAUUCAAUUGUCAGAGGUGAAAUUCUUGGAUUUAUUGAAGACUAACUACUGCGAAAGCAUUUGCCAAGGAUGUUUUCAUUAAUCAGUGAACGAAAGUUAGGGGAUCGAAGACGAUCAGAUACCGUCGUAGUCUUAACCGUAAACUAUGCCGACUAGGGAUCGGGCGAUGUU
rnacentral:rRNA from 1 species